rnacentral:ncRNA from 1 species
AAGGCUGAAACUUAAAGGAAUUGACGGAAGGGCACCACCAGGAGUGGAGCCUGCGGCUUAAUUCGACUCAACGCGGGGAAACUCACCAGGCCCGGACAUAGUCAUGAUUGACAAGUGAAUAGAUUUUUCUUGAUUCUAUGGGUGGUGGUGCAUGGCCGUUCUUAGUCGGUGAGGUGACUUGUCUGGUUAAUUCCGAUAACGGACGAGACCUUGACUUACUAAAUAGAAGUUGAGUUCUUGAACUCAGUAUUCUUCUUAGAAGGACUUUGGGAGUCUAUCCCAAGGAAGUUCGAGCCUAUAACAGGUCUGUGAUGCCCUUAGAUGGCCUGGGCUGCACGUGCGCUACAAUGACAUCAACAGCGGGUUUCCAUCGUCGAAAGAUGUGGGAAAUCCUGUUAAAUGAUGUCGUGAUAGGGAUUGGUCAUUGUAAUUGUUGACCAUGAACGAGGAAUUCCUAGUAAGUGCAAGUCAUAACCUUGUGCUGAUUGCGUCCCUGCCCUUUGUACACACCGCCCGUCGCUUCAACCGAUUGGAUGACCCGGCAAAUUUUACGGACCUCUUUGGUGGAAAGUAGCGUGAGCCUUGUCAUCUAGAGGAUGAAGAAGUCGUAACACGGUAUCCGUAGGUGAACCUGCGGAUGGAUCAUUC